GACAUCCAAGCCUCAUUUGAACUUCAGAAUGAUUGCAAGUGGACCAAAUUGGAUUACUUCAUGGGCCUGUACACGUCCAUGCAAGCUUGUACAUGAAAUGUCCAAAUUUAGCAAUUUUUCAAGUGUGCAAAUAUCAGUUCCAAUUGCUAUAAAUACAAGCCCUUGGAGCUCAAUUCAAGGACACCUGGCGCGCCAGCUUUGCCCCCCAAUUG
rnacentral:lncRNA from 1 species